CCGGCACGGGUGAGUAACACGUAUGCAAUCCACCUGUAACAGGGGGAGUAACCCGGAGAAAUCCGGACUAAUACCCCAUAAUAUGGGCGCUCCGCAUGGAGAGCCCAUUAAAGAGAGCAAUUUUGGUUACAGACGAGCAUGCGCUCCAUUAGCCAGUUGGCGGGGUAACGGCCCACCAAAGCGACGAUGGAUAGGGGUUCUGAGAGGAAGGUCCCCCACAUUGGAACUGAGACACGGUCCCAA
rnacentral:rRNA from 1 species